CGAGCACUGUUUCUUACCCGUCACGGAUUACUUCUCCGCGAUUGCGUCGCCGAUGGGACCCACCGUCGCGCCUAUCUGUGAGACGGCGAACGACCGCGGUUUUCCUUUUGUGAGUAAUGCAUUGCUUACCCUUCCGGGGCUGCGAUUGGUCUUCGUUGGGACCCACGGUCCUUAGACUCUGCGGACGUCACUUGGGACUCUUCAUCUCGAGGGCUCGCUCGGUAACCGCCUCCGUAUACGCCUCACGCAACGGGUACUUACCGUCCACAUUCCUGGUGAGUCGUUACCAGCAUAUGCGCUGUUCGUCGCGCUACUGAGCCACGCUGGCGGUGACCAGACACCGACUCCAAUCUCGCGCUUCAUAAGCGUAACCAAUCUUCUUCUUUCCUUCCCCUCUCUCUCCGUCUCUCAAUCUUCUUCUUCUCCUGGUUUCCUAACCCUCUCUUUCCCACCACCUUCUCUCUCUAUCCUUCUUAGACGACGUCCGUUGGCGGCGAUCUCCAUAAUCGUUUGAUGUCGGUUCUUGAUGCGUUACCUGUCCCCUUGGGUGGCUUGAUGCGGGUCCUUCAUUAAACCAAAAGAAAUUAUACCAAACGAUCAUCCCAAGAGGGCAGGUAUUGUAUCGGUUCUUGACAUCAAGAUACCCAAGAUGACAGUCAUCGCAUCAAGGAACGAUAACAAGACACCCAAGAGGCCAGGCAUCGCAUGAGUAAUCUCCAUCAGAAUUAGAUCGAAAGGUUUCUUCGGAUAUCUUCCGUCUUUGUUUCUUGAAUUCGUCGUACGUGUUUCGGUUCCGUAGAUUAAGGAUUUUUUUGUGCGUUUCAAGUUUGGGUUUCUUUGAUUUCUCGUCGUUCUCGGGGUUCUUUAGAUUAAGAUUUCUUUUGUACCUCCCGUCUCCGUUUCUUUGGAUUCGUCAUUAAGAUUGGGGUUCCAGAGAUUAUGCCGUCUCUGGUUUUUGGAUGAAGAUCGGGGCAGGACGAAAGACGCCAAAGAUCCUCGUGCCAAAACGGCCGCUGUAUUCUUUAAAGAGCAAGAACGGCCCACAGCCAUUAGGAAGUUGCACAAGAAUGAUCUCUGAGGAGCAACUUUUGGCUGCAAGGGCAUGACGGUAGAAUGGUGCCUUGCCUUCCAAUGCAAUUGUGUGGUGAGUGACUGACCCAUAGCAAUUUUCAUUUUAGUUGCUUCUUUCUCUAGUAUUAGACGUCAAAAUUGGCUUUAGGGCUAUAUAAUUUGUCCAUGCUUCUAAUGACAUAUAUGGUUUCUUGUUGAUUCUGUUUAACUUCUCCACAUCUUUACCCAUCUGCUUAAUGGUAAAACCGAGUGAACGUUACUUGGUGAUCUAGUAAUGAACGUGGACCCUAUAAACUUGCGUGGCAGAGUUGCCUUCUAAUUUCUCAAUCAUGAGGAACGUCAAACUAUAUGAAUGAUUCGUUCACCUCCUUUCUUUAUGAAUGGUUAUGGCUAAAACCUUAUUUGCCUUAGCAUGAUUCACUACUGCACAGGUAUACAUGCUGCAUAUGCUAAAACAUCUUUACUGUUGCAAUUUUUUUAUUGACUCGAUACCAAAUAAUUUGUAAACUCACUUGCAUAACAUCUUGCUGUUAAAGAUGGUAAUAUACUUUGGUGUUUAAGCAUUAUAGCAAGAAUGAAAUUGAAAAAAAAAAGAAAAAAAAAGAGAGAGAGAUAGGAUCAGAGACAUGUUCCCAUAAGAUGUAAUCAAAUGCAGGGUUCUGUUGUAGCAAGUACAACAUGCUUUAGAAACUUCUUUUGUGGUCUGAGAUUUAACAACUGAUCUUAACUUGUGGUUAAUUCUGAAUUCUUAGACCACCGGAGUUUUAAGUCUUCUUAAACCUCAUAUGCCUUGGACAUUUUUAUUUACAGCUAAGACCUAAGAGAACCAAAAACAUAUUCUAGUAUCUAAAUGGUUAAGUAAUCCAGUAAAAAGGUUUGGUGUUACCCUUACUCCUUACAACAGCAAUCCUUGUAUCACAUUUUCCUUUAACUACUACCUUCCGAGUUCCGUCCCACUCCAAACCUGGUAUUUGCUCACCUUUCUUCCUUUUAUUUUGUUUUGGUGAAGAAUUUGCUUGUUACCCUCCCAAGAAUCAAGCUCCUGCAUCGGAGUGUUCCUCUGGUGAAUACUUGCAAUUGUCAUGAGUUCACCAACGUUAAAAGUACUCUACAAAUUUCUUGUCAGCCGUAGUUAACAAAAAUUAGCAUUGCUGACCUUAGCUACCUUUUUUCACUUAAUAGAACAAUCUCAUUAGACUUUUUCAACCAAUAACUUACAGGAUCAGAAUCAAAAGCAAAGGUGGCCUCUCAAUUUUCAAUCAUGAUGAACUACAUUAGAUUUACUUGUCAAGGCCGUUUAGGAAAGGUUAUAAAAAUUUUAAAUAUUAACAAAAAGAAAGUCAUGCUAGGAUCGCUAGCCAAACCAAUUGCAAAUAUUUUUUUGUCUUUUUAUUUGUUAAUGUUGGUAUAAGAGAAGAUGAGAAAUAGAAGCAAAGAAUAAUGACAUAAAUUAAUAAACUGUUAUUUUUACUAAAUAUAUUAUAUAUACAUAAAAAUACUUUGUAAACAUUAGUUGAUGAUUUAGAUAAUGAAAAUUUUAAAUAGAAAAUGGUGUUUUUGAAAUAUAAAAUGUUUACAGGGUGUUGAUAUUGGAUACAGUACCUGAAAAAAUAAAGGUUGAGUUAGACAGUUCAGGAAUAUUUAUAUUUUUUUACACCAUUCAAAUAAGUUGAUUGUUGAAACUAUCAAGUGUAUGGUAAUUCUUCAUGGUUAAAAAAUGAUGUAUUGUAUUGUAUAUAUAUAUAUAUAUAUAUAUAUAUAUAUAUAUAUAUAUAUAAUGGUUAGAAUUUUACCUUAAAAUGAUAAUUGAAAACUUUAGAGGUAAGGAUAGAUUAGUAGUAAAUUUUGGAAAAUUUUUGUUAAAAAGUAUGGAAUUAUUAGUUUAAGAUAAUGUUUUUUAAUCUUUAUUUAGUUGUAGCUUAUAUUUCUUUUGGCAUAGACUUCGACACUUUCGUCUAUAUUUUUUUAUCCAUAUUUUGAUUUUAAUUUUUUAACUUUGUGUGUGCAUGUGUGCUGUGAUAAUACUGUAACAAGUUCCUGCGUUAAACUAUGUUAUGUUAUAAAUUAUAUUUCUUCUUGUUCUCAUUCUUAUUAGAUUCUAAGAUUAUAAAAACAAACAACCACUAAAAAUUAUACUGGUAUGUGUUCUAAAGAUGGAUGUCUAAGGAUGACAUGACAAAUGAGCUAUGAUAGUUAUGGAUGCUUUGACCUCAUUUUUGUUAUCUCUUUUAACUUUUGCCAUUUUGAGUUCCUAGCAACAUCAUUUCAAUUUCUUUACUUACAAACACAAGGUUUUGUAACGUUACGACUUACAUAACAUGAUUCUCAGUAGAUUGAGGGUGAGAUGGGGAAUUGUUCUUGUAAUACUGUUAGAAAUAGAUGCCAUAAUCAGAACGUGUUAAGUGGUCUUCCCUUAUCUUUCUUUCACUUUUGAAAGAGUCUUUUUUUUUUUUUCUGUGAAUCAUAUUUCUGAUCUUUAGAUGUGGCUACUAGCUUGGUUUUGUAAGAAGUUGCAUCUGAACUCAAUUGUGUCUCAAAGAAAAUAGGCUUCCAUUAACAUCCAGUGUGGCAAGAAGCUGAGAUAAUUGUUUAAACCCUCAGCCCUGAUGUGUUUUCCUGUAGAUAUACAAAACUUUUCAUGCAUUUAAAAAAUGUAGGGAAAGAUUGAGUCAUUCAAUUUUAUUACAGGACAAAAGUUUGAAAUUCAUAGUCUUGCAAGUCAUAUGUUCGAACAAUGUUGUUCCUUGCUACAUCAUUGAAUUGUUGCUAUCUAUUGGUAGCUUGGAAUGGGCAUCAACAUCUUUUUACAUUAUUAUUCUCUUGAUUGGGAAAGAGGAUUCUUUAUUUGUUGGUUGAAGAUAGUGGAUUUUUUAAUUGAUUAAUAGACGAAAAACAAUUAUGAUA